UAGGGAAUCUUCGGCAAUGGGGGCAACCCUGACCGAGCAACGCCGCGUGAGUGAAGAAGGUUUUCGGAUCGUAAAGCUCUGUUGUAAGAGAAGAACGUGUGUGAGAGUGGAAAGUUCACACUGUGACGGUAACUUACCAGAAAGGGACGGCUAACUACGUGCAG
rnacentral:rRNA from 1 species